rnacentral:misc_RNA from 1 species
GGUAUCAUAAAAAUAAUUCCGAUUAAAAAUUAUUAUUUAUGUACAAGGCUCACAUUCUUGUAAAUAAAACUACAGUGUAAAAUUCAUUUGAGUGUUAAUAUGCUUUCAUUCGAAAGUGGUUGGAGUUUGUCUAGAACGUUAAUACCCCGACCUGAACCUAAAAUUCGAUAAAUCUAAAUAAACUAAAAAAACUUGUUAUACAUA